rnacentral:rRNA from 1 species
GGUAGACGAUGGGGAUGCGUUCCAUUAGAUAGUAGGCGGGGUAACGGCCCACCUAGUCUUCGAUGGAUAGGGGUUCUGAGAGGAAGGCCCCCCACACUGGAACUGAGACACGGUCCAGACUCCUACGGGAGGCAGCAGUGAGGAAUAUUGGUCAAUGGGCGAGAGCCUGAACCAGCCAAGUCGCGUGAGGGAAGAAUGGUCUAUGGCCUGUAAACCUCUUUUGUCAAGGAAGAAUAAAAGGUACGUGUACCUUCUUGCCAGUACUUGACGAAUAAGCAUCGGCUAACUCCGUGCCAGCAGCCGCGGUAAUACGGGGGAUGCGAGCGUUAUCCGGAUUUAUUGGGUUUAAAGGGCGCGUAGGCGGGACGCCAAGUCAGCGGUAAAAGACUGCAGCUAAACUGUAGCACGCCGUUGAAACUGGCGACCUCGAGACGAGACGAGGGAGGCGGAACAAGUGAAGUAGCGGUGAAUGCUUAGAUAUCACUUGGAACCCCGAUAGCGAAGGCAGCUUCCCAGGCUCGAUCUGACGC